GCGGCGGGAGGAAGUGCGAGCUGGGCGCCCCGAGAGCCAGAUUUGGGAACUGAACCUCCGAGAGAGGCAGAGGGGUGUCUUAGGCCAGCAGGACACAGCCAGGAUUCGAUCUGCGCCAGCCUCACCGCCCCCGAGCCCCCAACCCCCCACUAUGCUUAUGCUCUUGCAAGAGGGAGCUUAGUCACCAGGCCACAGAAAUUGGCUCUAGUCGGCAGGGAAUGUCCCUGAAUCUCAGACAUUGCUGGACCUGGGACUGUACUGUUUUCCUGGAAUGUAUUUUUAGAGUGGUGGACCAGGUCACACAGUCUGCCUGGCCAGGGUACUGUUUACUGUUUUAGUGUUUACUGAGGCUUCUCAGGACUUGCAACCUGUGGGUGACUUAGGCCCUUUUAGGCCCCACCAACCCCAGGCCCAGAUCUGUGGGGAGCCCAGCACCGUGGCCUGCUGCCCUGAACCCUACAAGGGCAGGAGUCAAGGCUCACUUGUACCCCCUAGAGGAGUGCCUCUCUCGGGCUGGCACCCAGCUGUGGCUCAGGAUGGUAUGUCCAGUUGAUCGUCUGGCCAGACAAACCGAAAGGACAAGGAGGAGAAGAGCAGAGUGAGGAAGAGAGGAAGGAAAGAAGGAAGGAUGGACGGAAGAGGGGCUGACUUACAAGAAGAAACAAAGUGAAGAAAUGAAUAAAAGAACAAAUGCUUGCAUUGAUGACGAA